AUACAUGCAAGUCGUACGCUUCUUUUUCCACCGGAGCUUGCUCCACCGGAAAAAGAAGAGUGGCGAACGGGUGAGUAACACGUGGGUAACCUGCCCAUCAGAAGGGGAUAACACUUGGAAACAGGUGCUAAUACCGUAUAACAAUCGAAACCGCAUGGUUUUGAUUUGAAAGGCGCUUUCGGGUGUCGCUGAUGGAUGGACCCGCGGUGCAUUAGCUAGUUGGUGAGGUAACGGCUCACCAAGGCCACGAUGCAUAGCCGACCUGAGAGGGUGAUCGGCCACAUUGGGACUGAGACACGGCCCAAACUCCUACGGGAGGCAGCAGUAGGGAAUCUUCGGCAAUGGACGAAAGUCUGACCGAGCAACGCCGCGUGAGUGAAGAAGGUUUUCGGAUCGUAAAACUCUGUUGUUAGAGAAGAACAAGGAUGAGAGUAACUGUUCAUCCCUUGACGGUAUCUAACCAGAAAGCCACGGCUAACUACGUGCCAGCAGCCGCGGUAAUACGUAGGUGGCAAGCGUUGUCCGGAUUUAUUGGGCGUAAAGCGAGCGCAGGCGGUUUCUUAAGUCUGAUGUGAAAGCCCCCGGCUCAACCGGGGAGGGUCAUUGGAAACUGGGAGACUUGAGUGCAGAAGAGGAGAGUGGAAUUCCAUGUGUAGCGGUGAAAUGCGUAGAUAUAUGGAGGAACACCAGUGGCGAAGGCGGCUCUCUGGUCUGUAACUGACGCUGAGGCUCGAAAGCGUGGGGAGCAAACAGGAUUAGAUACCCUGGUAGUCCACGCCGUAAACGAUGAGUGCUAAGUGUUGGAGGGUUUCCGCCCUUCAGUGCUGCAGCUAACGCAUUAAGCACUCCGCCUGGGGAGUACGACCGCAAGGUUGAAACUCAAAGGAAUUGACGGGGGCCCGCACAAGCGGUGGAGCAUGUGGUUUAAUUCGAAGCAACGCGAAGAACCUUACCAGGUCUUGACAUCCUUUGACCACUCUAGAGAUAGAGCUUCCCCUUCGGGGGCAAAGUGACAGGUGGUGCAUGGUUGUCGUCAGCUCGUGUCGUGAGAUGUUGGGUUAAGUCCCGCAACGAGCGCAACCCUUAUUGUUAGUUGCCAUCAUUUAGUUGGGCACUCUAGCAAGACUGCCGGUGACAAACCGGAGGAAGGUGGGGAUGACGUCAAAUCAUCAUGCCCCUUAUGACCUGGGCUACACACGUGCUACAAUGGGAAGUACAACGAGUCGCGAAGUCGCGAGGCUAAGCUAAUCUCUUAAAGCUUCUCUCAGUUCGGAUUGUAGGCUGCAACUCGCCUACAUGAAGCCGGAAUCGCUAGUAAUCGCGGAUCAGCACGCCGCGGUGAAUACGUUCCCGGGCCUUGUACACACCGCCCGUCACACCACGAGAGUUUGUAACACCCGAAGUCGGUGAGGUAACCUUUUGGAGCCAGCCGC
rnacentral:rRNA from 1 species